rnacentral:tRNA from 1 species
UUAUUAAAUGAAUUUCUAAAAUAAAUUUCU